UACUUCAGAACAAACAAAAAAACAAUCAUAAUUUGAGGUUAGUAACAAGAAUCUGAAAACAAGUCUCUUCACAUAGUUCCAAUUUCUCUAACUUUGUAUAAUAUCAAUGGGUGUGUAGUCUUAAUUAGUUAACCUGUCUAGCCUCAAAAGGUGAGGCUCAUUUUAGGGCGAGUAUGAGGUCUAAACCUAUUAAGCCAACUAAAGAAACAAUUGAUACUACUGAGUCAGGAAGUCUAGAAUCAGAGAAGCCUGUUAAAUAGACACUGGCUGCUACUUUUUAUGCUAAUAGUUAGAGAUACAGUUGAAUGAGAUAUAGUUCCUGUUCCUGAGAACAGUGAAAUUGUGGUGAGGCAUUGACAGGUAAAGAAGAGCUAGCUGUUUGUAUAUGAAAAAAUUAUGCAGGGCAGAAUAAACCUUACUCAGUGUUAGAAAGUUUGAGUACUGUAAUAUACGAGGUACUGAAAUGAGGUACAUAGAUAUUUCAGAUACAGGCUCUACUUUCAAGAGCACCUAGUAUCUUAAGACAGGUAGGCUUAUGAAAAGUUGAUUGUAACACUCAAUAUGUGGAUGAUAUGCAGGACAGAAUUAUCUGGAGAAGAGGCUGGUCAAGAAAAGUGUGAAAAUUAACUUCCCACUGAUCAUCCACAAAGGUUUACUACAGCUCCUUUCAUUUAUUCUUGAAUAGGGAAUAGCAGGGGAAUGGAGAAAAGCACUAUAGGUAUUAGGAAAUAGUUUGGCCAAAGUUAGGAGCUAUUAUGUGAUGACAGUCAUUUGUGAUUGGAGUGGUGUACAGGGAAAGAAUAUGGUAGAUGAUGAGGGUAGAGCUUAAGCUUUACCCGGUAGGCAAGAAGAAUUGAAUCCAUUGAAAAGAUACAGGGCUCAAAUAGCAGUCUAUAUGAUGUGUUCUCUGGUAGAAGUAAUUGGAGGCAGUAGGCUAUUAUUAGAAUAAAUGUCAGUAAGCUAUGAUCAUGGGCUGUUAAACAGUUUUAUACCCAAAGAACUUGUUUAUCUGUGAUUGCUUUUGCAUUACAGUGAUAUGCUGAAUUGUUGUGUCCGGCCAGCAGAUCACAGCGUGGGUUCUAGCCUGGAAAGGCAUUUUGGAAACCUGGAAGAGAAGAAGGGCUAGGUGGGCGAGUAAAGGAUGCAGCUAAGACAGGCAUUCUGAUCAAAGCUCAAUUUUACUAUUCCAACACGUAGUUAUGAAGGAGGGGAAAGGGGGGCCGAUUCCCGCCAAAUAGUCCUGGGGUCCAGUAGCCGGGUGACCACGUGUAUGGCUCUGAACAGCAAAGUGGCAGGUUCCAGCAGUGGGCGUGGCAGAACGAUUGAGCGGCAAGCUCCAUCCAGGUGUAAACAGUGGAACCAUUAAGGCUGGGGGAGGGGAGGCUACACUGAAUAUUACAGGGAUUUCUGCCAUACCCCACAAAACCUAAAAUUUUAGCUAUCCAGCACUACACAGAAAAGGCUGGCUGAGCCAGGCACUGGUGACUUGUGAGAGAGGCAGAGAGGCAGAUGGAUCUCUGAAUUUGAGGCCAGCCUACCCUACUGAAUGAGUUUCAGCACAGCCAGAGCUACACAAACUGUGUCC
rnacentral:lncRNA from 1 species